AUGACGUGUAAUUUCAACAACAUUCUGUUAACAAAUGUGACUACACAGUCUGGCCAGGACUUCUCUCCAUUCCGUAAGUUCACCAACAACAACACCUUGUUUUCACGGUCAUCACCUUCCAUCUCCUCCCAGCACAACCUCCCUCUCCGCCGUCAAUACAAACCGGAACCACCCAUAAAUUUACCUCACAAUAUCCCUCACGAUACACCCUUCAUUGUUUCAUCCACUAACUCCAUUUCCCAAUCUCAAAAUCGAACCUUGCAAGCCUCAGCAUCUACUUCCGGUGCUGUUCAUGUCAUUCUCAGCCCCGUGUUCGCCGAAAAAACCCCCUCCCCUCUCUAA